rnacentral:rRNA from 1 species
UACCCUCGAGUGGGGAAUAACCUAGGGAAACCUGGGCUAAUACCGCAUAACACUUACGAGUCAAAGCAGCAAUGCGCUUGGGGAGGAGGUCGCGGCAGAUUAGCUAGUUGGUAGGGUAAUGGCCUACCAAGGCGAUGAUCUGUAUCCGGCCUGAGAGGGCGCACGGACACACUGGAACUGAAACACGGUCCAGACUCCUACGGGAGGCAGCAGUGGGGAAUUUUGCGCAAUGGGGGAAACCCUGACGCAGCAACGCCGCGUGGAGGAUGAAGUCUCUUGGGACGUAAACUCCUUUCGACAGGGACGAUAAUGACGGUACCUGUA